rnacentral:rRNA from 1 species
GGAGUUAGCCGGUGCUUCUUCUGUGAGUGAUGUCCUUCCUGCCGGCUAUUAACCCGCAGGCCUUCUUCCUCACUGAAAGUGCUUUACAACCCGAAGGCCUUCUUCACACACGCGGCAUGGCUGGAUCAGGGUUGCCCCCAUUGUCCAAUAUUCCCCACUGCUGCCUCCCGUAGGAGUCUGGGCCGUGUCUCAGUCCCAGUGUGGCUGAUCAUCCUCUCAGACCAGCUACGGAUCGUCGCCUUGGUGAGCCGUUACCUCACCAACCAGCUAAUCCGACAUAGGCUCAUCCGAUAGCGCGAGGCCCGAAGGUCCCCCGNUUUCCCCCGUAGGGCGUAUGCGGUAUUAGCCUGGGUUUCCCCAGGUUAUCCCCCACUACCGGGCAGAUUCCUAUGCAUUACUCACCCGUCCGCCGCUCGCCACCAGGGAGCAAGCUCCCCGUGCUGCCGCUCGACUUGCAUGUGUUAGCUGCCGCCAGCGUCAUCUGAGCAUAAUACAACUACUGA